rnacentral:rRNA from 1 species
UACGGAGGGUGCGAGCGUUGUCCGGAAUCACUGGGCGUAAAGGGCGCGUAGGCGGCAUGCCAAGCGUGUGGUGAAAGCCCGGGGCUCAACCCCGGGUCGGCCGUGCGGACUGGCGUGCUCGAGCACUGUAGGGGCGGGUGGAACUCCGGGUGUAGCGGUGGAAUGCGUAGAGAUCCGGAAGAACACCGGUGGCGAAGGCGGCCCGCUGGGCAGGAAGGCUCGCAAGAGCCGGCUGACGCUGAGGCGCGACAGCGUGGGGAGCAAACAGG